rnacentral:rRNA from 1 species
UACGUAGGGGCCAAGCGUUGUCCGGAUUUAUUGGGCGUAAAGAGCUCGUAGGCGGUUCGGCAAGUCGGGUGUGAAAACUCCAGGCUCAACUUGGAGAUGCCACCCGAUACUGCUCUGACUUGAGUUCGGUAGGGGAGUGGGGAAUUCCUGGUGUAGCGGUGAAAUGCGCAGAUAUCAGGAGGAACACCGGUGGCGAAGGCGCCACUCUGGGCCGAAACUGACGCUGAGGAGCGAAAGCGUGGGUAGCAAACAGG